rnacentral:rRNA from 1 species
UACAGGUGGUAGGGAUCCGAAAGGUGACCGACCCGCAAGGGAGCCUGAACAGGUGUUGCAUGGCUGUCGUCAGCUCGUGUCGUGAGAUGUUCGGUUAAGUCCGCUAACGAGCGCAACCCUCGCCGCGUGUUACAAGUGUCACGCGGGACCGCCGGUAUCAAGCCGGAGGAAGGUGGGGAUGACGUCAAGUCAGCAUGGCCUUUAUAUCCGGGGCUACACACACGCUACAAUGGCCGGUACAAUGGGCAGCGAAGGGGCGACCCGGAGCGAAUCCUGAAAGGUGUUCACAGUUCGGAUUGCAGGCUGCAACUCGCCUGCAUGAAGCUGGAGUUGCUAGUAACCGCAGGUCAGCCAUACUGCGG